rnacentral:lncRNA from 1 species
GGAAUUCCUCUCCAGCUUUUACUGAACACACAAAAAGAGUUCAGAUUGAAAUACUCGGAAAUGGAAAGUUAGAUCAACAUUCAUUCUGGAAAGGUUCCCUUGUCCUCCUUUUGUGUUUGCAUAAAGUCUCUUAAUCCAGGUUUUCAUUUAAAGCCCCUUGGUAACCAAAUGCCCUUUUGGGGGAGGGGGUGAAGAGCUGGUUCAAUAUUGAUUUUUAGCUUAGUCAUUUUUGCAGGAUGCAUCCUGCUGUUAAGAUAAACAUAACACAGGAACGAGGAUUGCAGUGAAUGGAAAACCUCUCUCUCUCUCUCUCUCUCUCUGUCUCCCUGAUGCUUGGUCCAGUUGUGUGCUGCGGAUGGGAUACAACACAGACACAGUGCAAAUAACCAGACCCGUGAGUAUGCUGUGAUAACAGGGGACACUUGGGUGCGUAGGAGUUGCUGUAUCGGAGCCAAUCUUUAGACCUAAGCUGGCUCGCCAAAGUAAAUAAAACCGAUUGUCCUAUUUUGCUUGGGGGAGGG